rnacentral:rRNA from 1 species
AGGGAUUGCCCUAGUAACGGCGAGUGAAGCGGCAACAGCUCAAAUUUGAAAUCUGGCUCUCGGGCCCGAGUUGUAAUUUGUAGAGGAUACUUUUGAUGCGGUGCCUUCCGAGUUCCCUGGAACGGGACGCCAUAGAGGGUGAGAGCCCCGUCUGGUUGGAUGCCAAAUCUCUGUAAAGUUCCUUCAACGAGUCGAGUAGUUUGGGAAUGCUGCUCUAAAUGGGAGGUAUAUGUCUUCUAAAGCUAAAUACCGGCCAGAGACCGAUAGCGCACAAGUAGAGUGAUCGAAAGAUGAAAAGCACUUUGAAAAGAGAGUUAAAAAGUACGUGAAAUUGUUGAAAGGGAAGCGUUUAUGACCAGACUUGGGCUUGGUUAAUCAUCUGGGGUUCUCCCCAGUGCACUUUUCCAGUCCAGGCCAGCAUCAGUUUUCCCCGGGGGAUAAAGGCGNCGGGAAUGUGGCUCUCUUCGGGGAGUGUUAUAGCCCACCGUGUAAUACCCUGGGGGGGACUGAGGUUCGCGCAUCUGCAAGGAUGCUGGCGUAAUGGUCAUCAACGACCCGUCUUGAAACACGGACCAAGGAGUCGUCUUCAUAUGCGAGUGUUCGGGUGUCAAACCCCUACGCGUAAUGAAAGUGAACGCAGGUGAGAGCUUNGGCGCAUCAUCGACCGAUCCUGAUGUUCUCGGAUGGAUUUGAGUAAGAGCAUACNGGGGCCGNACCCGAAAGAAANGUGAACUAUGCCUGNAUAGGGNUGNAAGCCAGAGGANCCUCUGG